rnacentral:rRNA from 1 species
GACGAACGCUGGCGGCGUGCUUAACACAUGCAAGUCGAACGGAAAGGCCCUGCUUUUGUGGGGUGCUCGAUUGGCGAACGGGUGUGUAACACGUGAGUAACCUGCCCUUGACUUUGGGAUAACUUCAGGAAACUGGGGCUAAUACCGGAUAGGAGCUCCUGAUGCAUGGUGGGGGUUGGAAAGUUUCGGGGGUUGGGGCUGGACUCGCGGCUUAUCAGCUUGUUGGUGGGGUAGUGGAUUACCAAGGCGUGGACGGGUAGCCGGCCUGGGAGGGUGACCGGCUACAGUGGGACUGGGAUACGAGCCAGAGGCAUACGGGAGGCAGGGGUGGGAAAUAGAGCACGAAGGGCGGAGGGCGGAAGCAGCAACGCCGCGUGGGAGAUGACUGUCUUCGGGGAGGAAAAUGCUUGCACCUGAGAGUGAGCGUGAUGGACGUUAAUGGUUAAAGAAGCACCGGCGAAUUACGU